CGGGUAAUAGCGCAGUUGGUAGCGCGCAACGUUCGGGACGUUGAGGUCGGGGGUUCGAAUCUCCCUUACCCGA
rnacentral:tRNA from 1 species